rnacentral:rRNA from 1 species
UCCCUCUUUUUCAAUCGUUAAUCGGAAUUACUGGGCGUAAAGAGCUCGUAGGUGGUUUGUCGCGUUGUCCGUGAAAACUCACAGCUCAACUGUGGGCGUGCGGGCGAUACGGGCAGACUGGAGUACUGCAGGGGAGACUGGAAUUCCUGGUGUAGCGGUGGAAUGCGCAGAUAUCAGGAGGAACACCGGUGGCGAAGGCGGGUCUCUGGGCAGUAACUGACGCUGAGGAGCGAAAGCGUGGGGAGCGAACAGG